rnacentral:rRNA from 1 species
ACGGGAGGCAGCAGUAGGGAAUAUUGGGCAAUGGAAGCAAUUCUGACCCAGCCAUGCCGCGUGAAGGAAUACGGCCCUAUGGGUCUUAAACUUCUUUUAUCGCAGAGUAACCGUCGGGACGAGUCCCGGCCUGCAAGUAUGCGAUGAAUAAGUAUCGGCUAACUCCGUGCCAGCAGCCGCGGUAAUACGGAGGAUACGAGCGUUAUCCGGAUUUAUUGGGUUUAAAGGGUGCGCAGGCGGACCGUUAAGUCCUGGGUGAAAAGCUGCAGCUUAACUGCAGUCGUGCCUAAGAUACUGGCGGACUAGAGUUGAAGUGGCGUAACUGGAAUGUGAUGUGUAGCGGUGAAAUGCAUAGAUAUGUCACAGAACGCCGAUCGUGAAGACAGGUUACGAACUUCAUACUGACGCUCAUGCACGAAAGCGUGGGUAUCAAACAGGAUUAGAUACCCUGGUA